CACCCCAUAAAAAUCUAAAGCUGCUGCUGGCUUAGAGAGAGAGCAUAUCGUUAUGGUUAAAGAAAUCGAAGGAGUUUCUCUCCGAUACUAUCAUCAUUCAUCCUUGACACUGAGGUGGUGUUUGCCGGCAGCAUGGUCAGUAAGAAGAACAAUGGAGAAGUAAGAUAGCCCAGUCAUGGGAAGAGGUGGAGCAGAUCGGGGUCGGGAUAAAAGAAAUCAUCGAAGAAGGCGAAGACAAUUUCACUGUUAGAUUUUGUUUAGAGAUUAUGGUUGGAUCUGAAUCGAAAAUAUCAUAGUAUAGGAAGUCUCCAUAUCGUUUGCUUUCUGUGCAAGAAUCAUAAAGUGUUAAGUUGUUAACGCUAUUGUUUAUAUGAAUAUUACCUUGUAUUGUAUUUUUGUAUAUUUUAGUUAUAAAUAAUGAAUAGCUUCAAACGAU
rnacentral:lncRNA from 1 species